AAAAAUGUAAAAGUACCACGCGGAUAAAGAUCCGAAGUAACAACAAUUAGAGGAAUGGGAAACCCUGAGAUCCUUCCAAGCUAAUGCCAUCAAAGAAAAGUGAGUCAGUACAGGUAAUCGGAAUGAACCUCCAGGGGUUAUCCCACAAAUAAAGUGGGAAACCACGCAAGUUAUCCCUGCAAAAGUCAUGUGAGCCCUCACAAAAAUUCAACAAAAGGGUUAGUGAAACACCAUAAGCAUUUUUUUCAUGAACAACAGUAUGGUUUCAGAAACCUCAAACCCUGUGGCAUACACUCAAAAAUUAAACGGUUAAACAUUCAAGGCAUUGUUUAUACAUUCAUAUACAUAUUAAACCCAUG
rnacentral:lncRNA from 1 species